rnacentral:rRNA from 1 species
GCUGAAGAGGUUUACAACCCGAAGGCCGUCAUCCCUCACGCGGCGUCGCUGCAUCAGGCUUUCGCCCAUUGUGCAAUAUUCCCCACUGCUGCCUCCCGUAGGAGUCUGGGCCGUGUCUCAGUCCCAGUGUGGCCGGUCGCCCUCUCAGGCCGGCUACCCGUCGUCGCCUUGGUAGGCCAUUACCCCACCAACAAGCUGAUAGGCCGCGGGCUCAUCCUUCACCGCCGGAGCUUUUAACCCCAUCCCAUGAGGGACAGAGUGUUAUCCGGUAUUAGACCCCGUUUCCAGGGCUUGUCCCAGAGUGAAGGGCAGAUUGCCCACGUGUUACUCACCCGUUCGCCACUAAUCCACCCCGAAGGGCUUCAUCGUUCGACUUGCAUGUGUUAAGCACGCCGCCAGCGUUCGUCCUGAGCCAGGAUCAAACU